GCCCUCGUAGCUCAGCUGGAUAGAGCGCCGGAUUCCUAAUCCGUAGGCCGUGAGUUCGAAUCUCGCCGAGGGCACCA
rnacentral:tRNA from 1 species